ensembl:lncRNA
AUUAGCACGUCUUUAGCACAACAGAAGGUUCGGUUGGCAGGAGUCUGAAGACUGGACGAGAUGGUGUCGCUUGAGCUCUAUGGAGAUUUAAUAAGAGACAUUACUGCUCAGAACCUCUCGCACGCGGACAUUUCCACGAAGUUAUCACAAUUAGGUGUGCAGCGAUGUUCUGAAAUGAGUGUCAGGAGAUUUUGUGCACAUCACAACAUUUCCAGGAGGGGACAUGUAUCCGACACACAAUUAGAAGUUGCUAUCAGCAGGGCAAUAAAUCAGACAGGGUCAACAUAUGAUGACCAGGUAUCUGUCUGCGAUGGGAGUGGUUGCUGGUGAACGCCGGAUAGGGAGGAUUUUGAGAACAACGCAUUGUCCUUAUCACGAAAUGCGCAAUCGUAUGGCGCUACCCUCAUGAAUGGAGCAUCAACAAGUGACGUCUACAACACAACAGAAAUGUCUGGAAGCCAGUGGCCACC